AGAACGAACGCUGGCGGCGUGGAUAAGACAUGCAAGUCGAACGGGUUUAGUUUCGGAGCAAUUCGGAAUUAGGCCAGUGGCGAACGGGUGCGUAACACGUGAGUCAUCUGCCUGAAAGUGGGGGAUAGCUCGCCGAAAGGCGAAUUAAUACCGCAUGUGGUUGUAAGACCAAAGCCGGGGCAACCUGGCGCUUUUAGAGGAACUCGCGGCCUAUCAGCUUGUUGGUGAGGUAACGGCUUACCAAGGCUUCGACGGGUAGCUGGUCUGAGAGGACGACCAGCCACACUGGAACUGAGACACGGUCCAGACACCUACGGGUGGCAGCAGUCGAGAAUUUUUCUCAAUGGGGGAAACCCUGAAGGAGCGACGCCGCGUGGAGGAUGAAUGCUUUCGGGUGUAACUCCUGUCAUUUGGGAACAAGCCUUACGUUAACUGCGUGGAGGUUUGAUAGUACCGAAAGAGGAAGAGACGGCUAACUCUGUGCCAGCAGCCGC
rnacentral:rRNA from 1 species